CCUGCAGGAAGACAUAUACCCUUGUGUGUUACAUGCCCCUUAAUGAAAACAGCUCAACCCUGUCAUGUGUUGAAGUUCAGCUGAUGGUCGGUUGACAAUCUGCCUGAAGCUAGUUCUUGAAUUGCUGCUGUCCUGAAUUGGAGCUGAAUGACCAGCAUACUGAGGGAACAGACUUCUGCUUGCCCUGGACCUGGAACAUGCCUGCCAGGAGAGGAGGACCGACCCUCACCACACUGUCAACAGCAGCCCGAGAAGGCUCUUGGCAGACAGUAGAGGGGCAGUCAUCGUCAACAGCUGCUCAUGCCUGGCUACCGGGCCCAGUACUUUCAAAGCCUGCAUUGUCAAGAGCGCAACCCAGGCAGCAGAGUCAGCCUGCAGAGUCGGCGUACAGUGGGGGGGAAGCAUGUUGACCUUCCUCUCCCAGCUUUCUGACAGGAUGCUAUACUGCUCAUGAAAGGCUGGGAGGAAGGGAUUCCUGCUUAAUGCCGCAAUCUGUUCAAAAUUCCAUUUGUUUUUCACCUGAGAAAAACACCUCAAAUACAAGACCGGGAGAAAAAUGUUUUCUGAAUAUCAAGAAACACAAAAUCUUUCUUUUUCA